ACGCACGCUGGCGGCGUGCUUCACACAUGCAAGUCGAACGGUGAAGCGCCUUCCUUUUUGGUGGGUGUGGAUGAGUGGCGAACGGGUGAGGUACACGAGAGUAACCUGCCCCCUUCUUCUGGAUAACCGCAUGAAAGUGUGGCUAAUACGGGAUAUUCUGGGUCUGUCGCAUGAUGGGUCUGGGAAAGAUAUUGUUUCGGUUGGGGAUGGGCUCGCGGCCUAUCAGCUUGUUGGUGGGGUGAUGGCCUACCAAGGCGGUGACGGGUAGCCGGCCUGAGAGGGUGGACGGCCACACUGGGACGGCGACACGGCCCAGACUCCUCCGGGAGGCAGCAGUGGGGAAUAUUGCACAAUGGGCGCAAGACGGAUGCAGCGACGCCGCGGGAGGGAUGGAGGCCUUCGGGUUGUGAACCUCUUUCGCCAGUGAAGCAGGCCUGCCUUGUUUGUGGGUGGGUUGACGGUAGCUGGAUAAGAAGCGCCGGCUAACUACGUG
rnacentral:rRNA from 1 species